rnacentral:rRNA from 1 species
AAGCCGAGGACAAAAGUCGUAGGCGAUGGACAACUGGUUGAUAUUCCAGUACCACCUUUAGCGUUUGACUGAAGCAGUGACACAGAAGGAUAGACAGAGCGCGUGACUGGUAGAGCGCGUCCAAGCGAUGAGGGAGUUAAGUAGUGAAGCACGCUUAACUAUCCUGGGUCGUGAUGGGGACUGAAAAUAAGUAGGGAAGCUGUUGAAUUCACGCUGGCGAGAGAAGCUGCUAAGGAGCGAAAGGGUGCCUGUACCGCAAACCGACACAGGUAGGCGAGGAGAGAAUCCUAAGACGAGCGGGAGAACCCAUGUUAAGGAACUCGGCAAAAUGACCCUGUAACUUCGGGAUAAAGGGAGCCACGAGAGUGGCCGCAGAGAAUAGGCCCAAGCGACUGUUUACCAAAAACACAGGUCUGUGCGAAGUAGAGAUACGACGUAUACGGGCUGACGCCUGCCCAGUGCCGGAAGGUUAAGGGGAAGUGUUAGGGCAACCGAAGCACGGAACUUAAGCCCCGGUGAACGGCGGCCGUAACAAUAACGGUCCUAAGGUAGCGAAAUUCCUUGUCGGGUAAGUUCCGACCCGCACGAAUGGCGUAACGACUUGGGCACUGUCUCAACAUGGGACCCGGCGAAAUUGUAGUAUGUGUGAAGAUGCACAUUACCCGCGAUAGGACGGAAAGACCCCGUAGAGCUUUACUGUAGUUUAACAUUGGAUCUCGGUAACAUAUGUACAGGAUAGGUGGGAGGCGAAGAACCAGGGACGCCAGUUUCUGGGGAGCCAACCUUGGGAUACCACUCUUGUGUUAUUGGAGUUCUAACGAAUUGCCGUGAACCGGGAUUCGGACAGUGUUAGAUGGGCAGUUUGACUGGGGCGGUCGCCUCCUAAAGAGUAACGGAGGCGUCCAAAGGUUCCCUCAGAAUGGUUGGAAACCAUUCGCAGAGUGUAAAGGCAGAAGGGAGCUUGACUGCGAGACCGACAGGUCGAGCAGGUGCGAGAGCAGGGCUUAGUGAUCCGGCGGUAUGAGAGUGGAAUUGCCGUCGCUCAACGGAUAAAAGCUACCUCGGAUAACAGGCUUAUCUCCCCCAAGAGUCCACAUCGACGGGGAGGUUUGGCACCUCGAUGUCGGCUCGUCGCAUCCUGGGGCUGGAUUAGGUCCCAAGGGUUUGGCUGUUCGCCAAUUAAAGCGGCACGCGAGCUGGGUUCAGAACGUCGUGAGACAGUUCGGUCCCUAUCCAUCGUGGGCGCAGGAGAUUUGAGAGGAGCUGUCCCUAGUACGAGAGGACCAGGAUGGACGCACCAAGGGUGAAUCAGUUGUUCUGCCAAGAGCAUAGCUGGGUAGCCAAGUGCGGAUCGGAUAAACGCUGAAGGCAUCUAAGCGUGAAGCCGACCUCAAGAUAAGAUCUCCCACCAGAAAUGGGUAAGACCCCUGGAAGACUACCAGGUUGAUAGGUCGGAGGUGGAAGUGCAGCAAUGCAUGUAGCUGACCGAUACUAAUAGGUCGAGGGCUUGACCAA